AACGAACGCUGGCGGCGUGGAUUAGGCAUGCAAGUCGUACGCGAAAGAGGGGGCAACCCCUUGAGUAGAGUGGCGAACGGGUGAGUAACGCGUGAGGAACCUGCCUUCGACAGGGGGAUAACACUCCCAACGGGGUGCUAAUACCGCAUGGUAUCGCCGGGUGGCAUCAUUUGGCGAUUAAAGGUGGGGACCGUAAGGCCUGCCACUUUGGGAUGGUCCCGCGUCUGAUUAGCUUGUUGGUGAGGUAACGGCUCACCAAGCCUUUGACGGGUAGCCACAAUGGCACUGAAACACGGGCCAUACUCCUACGGGAGGCAGCAGUGGGGAAUUUUGCGCAAUGGGCGAAAGCCUGACGCAGCAACGCCGCGUGUGCGAUGAAGGCCUUUGGGUCGUAAAGCACUGUCGGUCGGGACGAAAUCUCAUACGAUAACACCGUAUGAGUUUGACGGUACCGGCAAAGG
rnacentral:rRNA from 1 species